rnacentral:tRNA from 1 species
GCCAGAGUGGCGGAACUGGUAGACGCGCACGGUUCAGAGCCGUGUUCUUUUAUCGGAGUGAGGGUUCAAUUCCCUCCUCUGGCA